GCGGCGAGUCCCCAGUGCGCACCGCUUCAGGGUUUUGGGAGCUGCUACUUUUUCUUAUUCUUUUGUCGGUCUUGUUUCCUCUCGUUCUUUUCUUGGCCUUCUUUACCAGGUGUGUUUUUCCCAUUUCUCAUUCUUCUUCUUAGCUUUCUCUGGCCAGUGCUUUUUCCUUCCCUUGUUUUCCUAUUGAAUUUUCUGAGGACGGCGAUGAUUCCUGAUAGAUAGUCUUGCUGUAGUUAUGCCUUAUGUUACUGCUACUUCUUUGUUUUAAUGCAGCUGCUGCUUGGCUUAGGUAUAGCUGCGGUGGAUAUUACUCAGUGUAACCUUGCAAUAUGUUUAUUUGUUCUUCUUUGGCUGGAAUUGGGGAACAAUUGCUCUUUUUCUUGUUAAUGGAAUGCGUCGAUAUAGCUGUAAUAGUUAUUAUUCAAUAAAAUGUUAAGUUGUGUUUUUCGUUCCUUUUCUUUGUGCUGUAGAUUAAUGCUUUGAGAAUGGGUCGGAAUGGAGUAUACGGAAGCUUGGAAGAGGCAGUUAAACCAGAAUUAACUAUAAAACAGGUCUUUGCAUAAUUAAUGCUUUUACAAAUAUCUUGAAAUAAUAUUUCUUACUCCAUUAAAACUUUUCCUAUCAGAAAUUAGCAGUGAGAAUCCGGGUUCUGAUAUGAGUUCAGUGUUGCAUGGAUUGGACAAGAUGAGUUUGCGGUACGGGGCUAGAGAAGACGAGAAACAGGGGAAUCUGUAAACCAUUUGGCCUGACUCCUCAAUGUGUUAAUUCGUUUUUUUACUGAAGCUGUUUAGACUUCGCUAAGAGACAUGAAAACUUACUGAGUGUUGUUUUGAUCGGUUAAGUGAAUUGUUAUCGCAAUACAAAG
rnacentral:lncRNA from 1 species